AGGAGGAUGCUUCCAGUUAAUCCUUAAUAACACAGGAAGGUCUGAGCUGACUUCUCUCGUGAAGCGGACACACCGCUGGGAAAAUGAUCCGUUCUCAGCCAGCGGAGAAAAGAUGAAAAUAGCAGGUAUGUUGCCACCUCCGAGGAUCCGAGUUCACACUGUUCACUACAGAGAGAGCUGCGAAGAGACGCCGCGUGUGUGGGACUGACGCACAGAGAGA